CACGUAGGGUGCGAGCGUUGUCCGGAAUUAUUGGGCGUAAAGAGCUCGUAGGCGGACUGUCACGUCUGCUGUGAAAAGCUGGGGCUUAACCCUGGCCUUGCAGUGGAUACGGGCAGACUAGAGGUAGGUAGGGGAGAAUGGAAUUCCCGGUGUAGCGGUGAAAUGCGGCAGAUAUCGGGAGGAACGACCGGUGGCGAAGGCGGUUCUCUGGGCCUUACCUGACGCUGAGGAGCGAAAGCGUGGGGAGCGAACAGG
rnacentral:rRNA from 1 species